rnacentral:rRNA from 1 species
UUUUAUGGAGAGUUUGAUCCUGGCUCAGGACGAACGCUGGCGGCGUGCCUAAUACAUGCAAGUCGAGCGAAUGGACGGGAGCUUGCUCCCUGAAAUUAGCGGCGGACGGGUGAGUAACACGUGGGCAACCUGCCCUGUAGACUGGGAUAACUUCGGGAAACCGAAGCUAAUACCGGAUAAUCUUUGGAGCCUCAUGGUUCUAAAGUGAAAGUUGGGUUUACCUAACACUACAGGAUGGGCCCGCGUCGCAUUAGCUAGUUGGUAAGGUAACGGCUUACCAAGGCGACGAUGCGUAGCCGACCUGAGAGGGUGAUCGGCCACACUGGGACUGAGACACGGCCCAGACUCCUACGGGAGGCAGCAGUAGGGAAUCUUCCGCAAUGGACGAAAGUCUGACGGAGCAACGCCGCGUGAGCGAUGAAGGCCUUCGGGUCGUAA